rnacentral:lncRNA from 1 species
AGCAAACGGCUGGGCUCAUACGUGUAUUUUAAAAGCUUUAUGUGUGUGAUCCUGUUGCCCCUGGGCUGUUUUUUUCCUUGAGACAAGCUCUUUGCUUUCUCUGGACUUUAUUUUCUUCCUCAGGAAAGGACCAAAGAUCCCUUGAAAGGCACUUCUAAGCCCUGUACACAUACUUGAAAUCCAAGGUACUUAAGCUGAAACAGGAGGAUGGCAAAUUCAAAGGCAGCCAAGGCAACUUGAUAAAAUUCUGCCUUGAGAUGAUAAUAAUAAAUAAAUAAAUAAAUAAAUAUUUUAAGGGUCCAGGGAAUGUAACUCAGUAGGAAGACUUCCAGCCUGUGUAGGCCCUGACUGAGUUCAAGCCCCCCUCCCCCAACACACACCUAUUUCAUGCCUCAAAGCAAAUUUCUUCUAUCUAGAGUAUGUCACACUGUCUAUACCUCUGUUUCCACUGCAGGAAGUCCCUUUUCCCAUCCAUAAUUUAAUGAUCCUAGUAUCACAUAGGUAUGGCCAAUGGGGGUGGGGGUGGGCAUCCCCUCGACACGUCAUCUGGCAGCACUUGGUCUCCACUCUGGCAAGAUCAGAUUUCUGUUGGUGUCUCUGACAUGCCUAGGGACAUGUCCUGCUCAGAGGACUCACCCAGCCUGCAGCAUCACCCACGGGUAUCCACAUGACAGCAGUGUGGACUGUGUUUCAUGCUGCCCCUAGUGGUGGGCACAGGGAGUGUGCGCUCUCCCUCCAAAUCCAGUUAUCCAAUAAAAUACCCUGCAGAGACCCCUGC